AAACAACCACAGUGGCAGUAUCGUAACCAAUGAGGUUUAUCCAAGGCGCGAUUAUUGCUAAUUGAAAACUUUUCCCAAUACCCCACCAUGACGACUUGAAAUAAAUUUGAUUAAUUAUGACAAACUGUUUAGU